CCUCUGGACUACUACAUCAAACCUAAGUAGGUUGUUAGUAAUAACUUCCAAACAGGAGUAGGAUGAAUGAGGAA
rnacentral:ncRNA from 1 species